rnacentral:rRNA from 1 species
AUUGGACGCUGGCGGCAUGCCUUACACAUGCAAGUCGAACGGUAACGGGCCUUCGGGUGCCGCCGAGUGGCGAACGGGUGAGUAAUACAUCGGAACGUGCCCGAUCGUGGGGGAUAACGAGGCGAAAGCUUUGCUAAUACCGCAUACGAUCUACGGAUGAAAGCAGGGGACCGCAAGGCCUUGCGCGGACGGAGCGGCCGAUGGCAGAUUAGGUAGUUGGUGGGAUAAAAGCUUACCAAGCCGACGAUCUGUAGCUGGUCUGAGAGGAUGAUCAGCCACACUGGGACUGAGACACGGCCCAGACUCCUACGGGAGGCAGCAGUGGGGAAUUUUGGACAAUGGGCGCAAGCCUGAUCCAGCCAUGCCGCGUGCAGGAUGAAGGCCUUCGGGUUGUAAACUGCUUUUGUACGGAACGAAAAGCCUUCUUUUAAUACAGGAGGGUCAUGACGGUACCGUAAGAAUAAGCACCGGCUAACUACGUG